rnacentral:rRNA from 1 species
CCUACGGGUGGCAGCAGUGGGAAUAUUGGACAAUGGGGGGAACCCUGAUCCAGCCAUGCCGCGUGUGUGAAGAAGGCCCUCGGGUUGUAAAGCACUUUCAGUGAGGAAGAACGCCUGGUGGUUAAUACCCAUCCGGAAAGACAUCACUCACAGAAGAAGCACCGGCUAACUCCGUGCCAGCAGCCGCGGUAAUACGGAGGGUGCGAGCGUUAAUCGGAAUUACUGGGCGUAAAGCGCGCGUAGGUGGCUUGAUAAGCCGGUUGUGAAAGCCCCGGGCUCAACCUGGGAACGGCAUCCGGAACUGUCAAGCUAGAGUGCAGGAGAGGAAGGUAGAAUUCCCGGUGUAGCGGUGAAAUGCGUAGAGAUCGGGAGGAAUACCAGUGGCGAAGGCGGCCUUCUGGACUGACACUGACACUGAGGUGCGAAAGCGUGGGUAGCAAACAGGAUUAGAUACCCCAGUAGUC